rnacentral:misc_RNA from 1 species
AAGUCGUAACAAGGUAACCGUAGGUGAACCUGCGGUUGGAUCAUUAAAAAAAUAAGAAGUUUGACUUCUUUACUGGGCCAGUAUUAUGUACUGGCUUGGGAAACAACUUGUGCAUUAGAAAUGAACUUGGGGAGUGACAAGUGUGCGAUGUAUUUCAAGCACUGUGCUCCCCAAACUUUACACCCCUUUAUACUUACUGAAUAAAGAGACAAUGAGAAACAACUUUUGACAACGGAUCUCUUGGCUCUC